rnacentral:rRNA from 1 species
ACAAGGAGCAUCAAAAUUAAUAACAGAGGGUUCGAUCCUGGCUCAGGUCCCAGGUGCUGGCGGAUCGCUUUACAUACAAUCGAACAGCAGCACGGACUCGGUCUGGUGGCAAUUAGCGAACAGGUGAGUAAUGUAUCUCAGACGUGCCUAUUAGCGGGGGAUAACUACGCAAGAAAGCGGCGCUGCGGUGCUGUUUGUGCAUGUAGCUAGCCACCGCCGCCAUCGAAGCAGGGACCUUCGGGCCUCGCACUGUCGAGCAGCCGAUAUCGGAUUAGCUAGUUGAGUGGGGUAACACGGCUCGCGAGGCGACGAACAUCCAUAGCUGGUUUGAAGACGACCAGCUACCACUCUGGACAGGGCAGCCCAAAGGCUCUACGGGAGAACAUGAUGGGGGUACAGAUAAUGCGAGGAAAAACCUGAUCAGCCAUCCACGCGUGCGAUAAGGCGCUUCAGUUGUAAGCACUUUGGCGAAAGAAGCGGCGCGGAUAAUACCCGUGCAACUGACAACCUGCAGAAUAAGCACCAGCUAAGCUACGUGCCAGCAGCCAUGAUAAUACGUAAGUGCAAGCGUUAAUCGGAAUUACUGGGCGUAAAGCGUGCGCAGGCGGUUUGGAAAGAAGAUGGCGAAAUCCAGAGCUGCCCAACUUUGGAACUGCAUUUUUAACUACCGAGCUAGAAGUGUGUCAGAGGGAGGUGGGAUUCCGCGUGUAGCAGUGAAAUGCGUAGAUGUGCGGAGGAACACCGAUGGCGAAGGCGGCCUCCUGGGAUAACACUGACGCUCCAUGCACAGCAAUGGGAGCAAACGGAUUAAGAUACGCACGGUAGUCCACGCCUAAACGAUGUCAACUAGCUGUUGGGGCCUUCGGGCGCUGGUAGCGCAACUAACGCGUGAAGUUGACCGCCUGGGGAGUACGGUCGCAAGAUUAAAACUCGAAAAUUGGCGGGGACCCGCACAAGCCCGGUGGAUGAUGUGGAUUAAUUCGAUGCAGCCGAAAAACCUUACCUACCCUUGACAUGUCUGGAAUCCCGAAGAGAUUUGGGAGUGCUCGCAAAGAGAACCGGAACAGGUGCUGCAUGUGGCUGUCGUCAGCUCGUGUCGUGAGAUGUUGGGUUAAGUCCACGCAACGAGCGCAACCCUUGUCAUUAGUUGCUACGAAGGGCACUCUAAUGAGACUGCCGGUGACAAACCGGAGAGGGUGGGGAUGACGUCAAGUCCUCAUGGCCAUAUGGGGUAGGGCUUCACACGUCAUACAAUGGUCGGGACAGAGGGUCGCCAACCCGCCGAGGGGAGCCAAUCCCGAAACCCGAUCAUAGUCCGGAUCGCAGUCUGCAACUCGACUGCGUGAAGUCAGAAUCUUCGGUCGCGGAUCACGGCUUGUGUCUUCGCGGUGAUACGUUCCCGGAUAACGCUGCACCGCCGUCACCAUGGAUGGGGUUUUGCCGGAGAAGUAGUUAGCUAACCGUAAGGAGGCGGUGCCAGUAGUUGGGUGAAGUCGUAACAAGGUAG